UGAAACCCAGGGGCAGUGUGACUAAGGAAGAAGACCCAAAGCCUUCCCACUGGCUGUACAAGCUGCAGAUUAAAACCGCAGGAUCAACUAGGCAGACGCUGUGUCUGUGGAAUAUAUAAAAGGCCAUCGAGAGCUCCCACAAAAGAAAACGGACUAGUUCUGACAGCGGUGGACACUGGAGCUGCUUGGUCAUCUUCAGAAGCCCAUGUGACAAGAGUAAGAAAUGCACUGUCCUUCACUGAGGCAUCUACCAUCAAUAUUUUGAUCAAAUAAAUCAGCAUCUCCGGGGAUCCUGAUGUGCAGCCAGAGUUGAGAACUGCUGCCCCAAACACCGCCAGGAUCUUUUUCUGUCAGAACAGUAGAGCCAUGAGUGAAUCAGGUGAGGCUGUGGGUCAAGACCUCAAAACUACACAACUUCUUCAUAGGUCCUAAC